rnacentral:rRNA from 1 species
AUUGAACGCUGGCGGCAGGCCUAACACAUGCAAGUCGAGCGGAGCGGCGGACGGGUGAGUAAGGCCUAGGAAUCUGCCUGGUCGUGGGGGAUAACGUACGGAAACGGGCGCUAAUUACGCAUACUUUCAGAUGGGUCUCGGUGGGAUUAGCUAGUUGGUGGGGUAAAGGCCUACCAAGGCGACGAUCCGUAACUGGUCUGAGAGGAUGAUCAGUCACACUGGAACUGAGACACGGUCCAGACUCCUACGGGAGGCAGCAGUGGGGAAUAUUGGACAAUGGGCGAAAGCCUGAUCCAGCCAUGCCGCGUGUGUGAAGAAGGUCUUCGGAUUGUAAAGCACUUUAAGUUGGGAGGCGUUACCAACAGAAUAAGCACCGGCUAACUUCGUGCCAGCAGCCGCGGUAAUAC